rnacentral:tRNA from 1 species
AAUAAGAAGCGAUUUUUGCACCCAGUUUCGACCUGGUCCUAGGUGGAUACACCCUUAUUU